UCCCUUCUGGUCAAUGAGGUGUAACAACCUCAUCAAUUGGAAGUAAUCCCUUCUGAUUGAUGAGGUGUAACAACCUCAUCAAUCGGAAGAAAUCCCCUCUGGUCGAUGAAGCUGUUACACCUCAUUGAUUGGAAGGGA
rnacentral:miRNA from 1 species